UACGUAGGGUGCAAGCGUUGUCCGGAAUUAUUGGGCGUAAAGAGCUCGUAGGCGGUUUGUCGCGUCGAAUGUGAAAACCCGGGGCUCAACUCCGGGCCUGCAUUCGAUACGGGCAGACUAGAGUUCGGUAGGGGAGACUGGAAUUCCUGGUGUAGCGGUGAAAUGCGCAGAUAUCAGGAGGAACACCGGUGGCGAAGGCGGGUCUCUGGGCCACUACUGACGCUGAGAAGCGAAAGCAUGGGGAGCGAACAGG
rnacentral:rRNA from 1 species